GACGUCUGGGCAGCCCCAGCGCAACGCGCAGCAGCCUCCCUCCUCUUCUUCCCGCACUGUGCGCUCCUCCUGGGCUAGGGCGUCUGGAUCGAGUCCCGGAGGCUACCGCCUCCCAGACAGAGUCACCUGGACGCGAGCCUGUGUCCGGGUCUCGUCGUUGCCGGCGCAGUCACUGGGCACAACCGUGGGACUCCGUCUGUCUCGGAUUAAUCCCGGAGAGCCAGAGCCAACCUCUCCCGGUCAGAGAUGCGACCCUCAGGGACCGCGAGAACCACACUGCUGGUGUUGCUGACCGCGCUCUGCGCCGCAGGUGGGGCGUUGGAGGAAAAGAAAGGUAAGGGCGUGUCCCACCGGCCCGCGCCCCCUGCGAGCUAGCUCGCCCAGUCCCAACCUCCGCUCGGGACUCUAAGUCCCCAGCCGCCCGCUCCUCCUCUUCUGGCUCCCAAAGGCGGCCGGGACCAUAGGAGGAACUGGACGGAGUCUGGAAUGGGCGAGACUGGGGCCGCCGAAGGAAGGGAGACUGGGCUAGGAGCAGAGGGGCUGCCAGGGCAGCGUGGGAGCCGCGGCUGUGCGCUCCGGGGCUCUUGACUGCUGCCAACUUAGUUGCCUCACUUUCCUGCGCUCAGUAGGCGUUCGGAGCAGAAACGUGGUGCGGGACAGCGCGGGACGCCGGGCAUUGGCGCACGUGCGCCCAGUACUGUCAGGGAGAGCGGAGGGACCCCGGAUCCUCAAGCGGGUCGGGUGUGUCCCACCCGCUCAGUGUGAGAGUUGAGGGACUGGAGUGCGAACCAACGCGCCCCUGGUCAAGGUCGGAACCUCUGAGACGCGCGGUUUCCUGAGCGCGGUUUCCCUCAACUCCUCUCUUCUCCAGCAGGGUACUCUCAGGACCUGGUAGCCUGAGUCCCAAUGUAGCUUGCAGAUUUCUGGCUUGCCCUUUCGCGGGUGUGUAGUUGCAGCAAUGACCUGGAAGUGUGGAGAUCUCUCUGUCACUAACCACCUAGGACUUCUGGGAAGAGAUGGUGUUAGUGGUCAUUUGCUUCUUCACUAGG
rnacentral:lncRNA from 1 species